CUCUUCUGCACCAAUUCUCCUCUCCACUCUUCUCCAGUGCCCCCCACAAACAAAAACGCCAUGGCCACACCCAACAGCAAAAUCCCUGCCACCAAAACCAAAUCGAUACCGGCCCGACUCGAUUCGACGCCUACAACCGCCUCCAGGCGGAUGCCUUCGCAUUUGGCGAGAAACUCCCCAUACCGGAGAUAGUCACAUUCGGCAAGAGCUUGCUCCUCGAAGCCCUCCUCGGGUUCCGGUUCAACGUCCGAGAAGUCGAGAUGGGCACCCGACGGCUUCUCAUCCUCCAAAUGGUCCACGACCCCACCGCAUUAGAGCCCCGGUGUCGGUUUCAGGGUUUCAACUCUCAGUGAACAACCGGAGGUAGUUGCCAAGAUGGCAAGUGGUGUGGGGUUCCAACCGUUGUAUCCAAUCUCGAUGAGCCACUCAAGAUUACCUUUAAGGUACCCAACUCCUCUCUCUUUCUAUAAUAUGCUGACUGAUCUGCUAUAGGCAGAUGAACAACAAAAUCUUUGGUGAAUUUACUCUUGAUUUUGGGUUUGAUAUGUUCUAUCAAUCUUUGAGUAUGUUUUGAAAUUGGGUCUCUCAAUUUUGUUAAGAACACCCAAAAAUUUGCAUAGGAUUUCUUGAUUUUUUUUCCUUUGAGAUGUGGGUCUUUUGAUUUUUUUUCUUGAUCAUGAUUUAUAUUCAUGAUUCUUCAAUAACUUUGGUGCCUUGUUCUUUGUUUGGCUUGGUUUGCAACAACUUGGGGAUGUGCUGUUCCCAA